rnacentral:rRNA from 1 species
AUACGGAGGGUGCAAGCAUUAAUCGGAAUUAUUGGGCGUAAAGGGCGCGUAGGCGGAACUGUAAGUCAGAUGUGAAAUACCGAAGCUCAACUUCGGUGCUGCAUUUGAAACUACAGAUCUGGAGGAUAGACGGAGAAAACGGAAUUCCACAUGUAGCGGUGAAAUGCGUGGAUAUGUGGAAGAACACCUGUGGCGAAAGCGGUUUUCUAGUUUAUUCCUGACGCUGAGGCGCGAGAGCAAGGGGAGCAAACAGGAUUAGAAACCCCAGUAGUCC